rnacentral:tRNA from 2 species
AAAAAGAUAAGCUAAUAAAAGCUAAUAGGUUCAUACCCUGAAUAUAGAAGUAAAAUCUUCUUCUUUUUA